rnacentral:rRNA from 1 species
GAUGAACGCUGGCGGCGUGCCUAAUACAUGCAAGUCGAACGCUGGAAAUCUAGCUUGCUAGAUUGAAGGAGUGGCGAACGGGUGAGUAAUACAUAAGCAACCUACCCACGAAGACUGGGAUAAUCUCUGGAAACGGGGACUAAUACCGGAUAGGUAAUCGGAAGGCAUCUUCUGAUUAUUAAAGGUUAAAAACACUGGUGGAUGGGCUUAUGGCGCAUUAGUUAGUUGGUGAGGUAACGGCCCACCAAGACGAUGAUGCGUAGCCGGCCUGAGAGGGUGAACGGCCACAUUGGGACUGAGACACGGCCCAGACUCCUACGGGAGGCAGCAGUAGGGAAUUUUCGGCAAGGGGGGAAACCCUGACCGAGCAACGCCGCGUGAGUGAUGACGGCCUUCGGGGUGUAAAGCUCUGUUGUAAGGGAAGAACGGUAGAUAGAGAAUAUCUAAAUGACGGUACCUUACCAGAAAGCCACGGCUAACUACGUG